AGUAUCUCUGGGGCCCUGUCCCCAUGUGGAUCUCUCUCAUCCUGGGAUGCUGAAGUGGAAAAGGACCUGGCUGCCACGGUGGAUGGGCCUCCAGCGCUUUCCAGGCUAACUCAGCGAGCCCAGUCUUCUUAGUCAACUGAGAGACAUGUCUACAGAACAGACCAUGUGGCCAACUCCUCCUCCUCCCCAUGCCCCAGGCAAGAGGACUCUGGGAAGACAUCCAGGAAGCAAGGAGUCUGUAGCCAGCUGCCUUCAGAAGCCCAAGGUCAUUGGCCCUGCCACUCUGGUUUGCCAACUCCUCAAGGACCACAUAGGCCCAACUGUUAUGGAAAGGGUGGACCAGAGAGAGGGGCUUCUUUUCCUUCGGCUUUGGGGAAGGCAAAGGCAAUUCCUGCCACUGCCCACUCCAGAGACGGCCGCAUCUUCCAGCCCCCACCCCCACCCCCAGACUGGAGAGAAGAAAAGGAAUUGGAGGAGAAGGAAUGGGAUAAGGGUGGGGGUUUUCUGAGACCCACAUUCUCUCUGACAUGCCCACUGAGCCUCCCCACAGGAAAACAGGAUUAUGAAAGAAAUACUAGAAGUAUUCUCCAAGUUGGGUUGGGCUUCAGAAAGCCCUUUUGAUAUAAGCCAAAUACCUCAGAUGGCCAAGGGAGUGGCCUGGCCUCAGUCUCCUCAACUAAAUCACCAGUUCCAAGACAGCAGGGAAUAAUAAAGAUAAAAAUAAUAUAAUAACGACAGCUAA
rnacentral:lncRNA from 1 species